GAAUUAUAGGGCGUCUACUUGUAGAGCCUGACCUCCACUUCUAACACUGUGCACUUGAUGGCGAGGUAAUUGGGAUCUGGCCUUCGGGCUAUUGAUCAAGAACCUUGCGGCUUCAUUUUAAACAUUAGUCAAAGUAUGUAAUGAAAUUUAAAACAAAAAAAAACUUUCAACAACGGAUCUCUUGGCUCU
rnacentral:misc_RNA from 1 species